CCCAACAGAUGCCCAACACACAUCUGGGUGAAUCUCUCAUUCACCAGACAGGAGAUCCAUGGGGUGGGGUGUUGGUGCUUCAGCACCUCCCCAUUACCACUGACCGCUUGGCACCGGGCCCCACGAGUGCUGUGGGUGUUUCAAUCCCUCCCUGAGCCCCAUGGGCUUGUGAAGGGAGAUGGCAGGGAGGUCCUCCUGCCUUAAAGUUAAGCUUGCAGGUAUAAAACACCCAGGGACACACACAGUGAACAGCAAGGUCUUGUGGAAAAACAGAGGUUUCAAGAGCCAGCCAACUGCUGCUUCAAACCCUCCAUCACCCAGUACUAAUGGUCGCCACCUAAUUAGUGAGAUGCUCUAAUACCCAGUCUUCAUCUGUAAAGAGGGACCCCAAAUCUAGCUACAGAAUCUGUGCCUCCCAAGGACACACCAGGUUGGCAAAUUGGUUUUAGAGGGUGGGCUGACGUCAUGGAAGCAGCCACCUCCCCUUUGAGACGGGUGGGCUACCCUUGUUUUGCAGUUUAAGAAACAGACUAGAGGUCUCUUGAGAGGUGACUAUUUCCCUUGUCUGAGAGGAUGGCACCUCUUUUCAAUUCUAUUUUAUGUGGUUAGGGUAACCAAGCCAGCGCUACAAAAUAGACCCUGAAAAUUUCCACUUGCAAAUCCUCAUGAGCUCCAGGCAUUUAUUAGAUGGGUUCCUGCUCUUAGGAAAAUUGUCAACCUGACCCAAGUAGUUCGUAUUUUUGUGUCAUCUAAGCUUGGCCUCCCAGAACACUACCACCACGCCCUGUGAUCCACCUUCCCAAGUUCCCCCCAGGUGGACUCCCCAACAGCCGCACACCCCCUCCCCUCAGGAAGCUCACUGGCCUCUAUGAGCCUCAUUUCAUAGAGACCCACCCUACUUUCAGAAGGGGAAAAAUGGUGUGGACAUCAUUAAAAUGCAAGUUGCAGGAGCCCCAACAUUUUGCAGCUGUCGGCCGCCCCUGGGGACAAGACCUCCCCGAUGCCCAGGAUGCAGAAGACGUCAUCUGGUGUAUAAAAAAAAUGUAACCCUACGCUGGUGUAAUGCUUCUUACAGUGAGAAUAUCAAUGUGUGCGUUUCCCAAGUCUCAGUGGCUUUUCCAUGAAAUGGGGGCAAUGCCCCCUUCCAUCUGAGCUCACUGGAAGGAAGGAAUGAGACGGUGUCUUUGGGACUUCCUGGCUCCCUGCGUGAGGGCUCAAAGGUUACUGGGUCAGAAGCAUCCCUGGUAUUUCAGGACGCAGAGGGCCAUGGUGGAUGCACAAGGAGGAAGCAGUCUCGGUGGGGAGGAAUACUGAGGCAAGAUCCCGGGAAACGUGAACCCAGAAUUGGAACCAGACAUGCAGAGGAAGGGUCUCUUGGGGCCCCACACAGCAGAUUUCCAACAGGACGGCGAGUGUAAGCCAGAGGACAGAUCCUUGGAACUCAGGAUUUCCAGGCAUCAGGCCCCACUGCUGGUUUAUGACCCCGACAAGAACUGAAGAAAACCAUAAAAGAUGAGGAACUGAUGUUUGUAUGGCCUAAACCUCUGCCCACUACUAAGCCAGCCAGCCCAAUAAAAUUCAGCUGAGUUUCUUAAA